rnacentral:rRNA from 1 species
UACGUAGGGUGCGAGCGUUGUCCGGAAUUAUUGGGCGUAAAGAGCUCGUAGGCGGUGUGUCGCGUCGGCCGUGAAAACCUGCAGCUUAACUGUGGGCUUGCGGUCGAUACGGGCAUCACUGGAGUUCGGUAGGGGAGACUGGAAUUCCUGGUGUAGCGGUGAAAUGCGCAGAUAUCAGGAGGAACACCGAUGGCGAAGGCAGGUCUCUGGGCAUUAACUGACGCUGAGGAGCGAAAGCAUGGGGAGCGAACAGG